AUUGAACGCUGGCGGCAGGCUUAACACAUGCAAGUCGAGCGGUAGAAAGUAGCUUGCUACUUUUGAGAGCGGCGGACGGGUGAGUAAUGCGUGGGAAUCUACCUGGUAGUGGGGGACAACAGUUGGAAACGACUGCUAAUACCGCAUACGCCCUACGGGGAAAGCGGGGAGUCUUCGGACCUCGUGCUAUCAGAUGAGCCCGCGUGAGAUUAGCUAGUUGGUGGGGUAAAGGCCUACCAAGGCGACGAUCUCUAGCUGGUCUGAGAGGAUGAUCAGCCACACUGGGACUGAGACACGGCCCAGACUCCUACGGGAGGCAGCAGUGGGGAAUAUUGGACAAUGGGCGCAAGCCUGAUCCAGCCAUGCCGCGUGUGUGAAGAAGGCCUUGGUUGUAAGACACUUCUAGCGAGGAGGAAAGGUUAGGU
rnacentral:rRNA from 1 species